rnacentral:rRNA from 1 species
AAAACGACUCUCGGCAACGGAUAUCUCGGCUCUCGCAUCGAUGAAGAACGUAGCGAAAUGCGAUACUUGGUGUGAAUUGCAGAAUCCGUGAACCAUCGAGUCUUUGAACGCAAGUUGCGCCCUAAGCCAUUCGGCCGAGGGCACGUCUGCCUGGGCGUCAAUC